rnacentral:rRNA from 1 species
UACGAAGGGUGCAAGCGUUACUCGGAAUUACUGGGCGUAAAGCGUGCGUAGGUGGUGAGUUAAGUCUGAUGUGAAAUCCCCGGGCUCAACCUGGGAAUGGCAUUGGAUACUGGCUCGCUAGAGUGCGGUAGAGGGUGGUGGAAUUCCCGGUGUAGCAGUGAAAUGCGUAGAGAUCGGGAGGAACAUCUGUGGCGAAGGCGGCCACCUGGACCAACACUGACACUGAGGCACAAAAGCGUGGGGAGCAAACAGG